GAUGAACGCUGGCGGCGUGCCUAAUACAUGCAAGUCGAGCGAACAGACGAGGAGCUUGCUCCUCUGACGUUAGCGGCGGACGGGUGAGUAACACGUGGAUAACCUACCUAUAAGACUGGGAUAACUUCGGGAAACCGGAGCUAAUACCGGAUAAUAUAUUGAACCGCAUGGUUCAAUAGUGAAAGACGGUUUUGCUGUCACUUAUAGGUGGAUCCGCGCCGCAUUAGCUAGUUGGUAAGGUAACGGCUUACCAAGGCAACGAUGCGUAGCCGACCUGAGAGGGUGAUCGGCCACACUGGAACUGAGACACGGUCCAGACUCCUACGGGAGGCAGCAGUAGGGAAUCUUCCGCAAAGGGCGAAAGCCUGACGGAGCAACGCCGCGUGAGUGAUGAAGGUCUUCGGAUCGUAAAACUCUAUUAUUAGGGAAGAACAAAUGUGUAAGUAACUAUGCACGUCUUGACGGUACCUAAUCAGAAAGCCACGGCUAACUACGUG
rnacentral:rRNA from 1 species